rnacentral:rRNA from 1 species
GACGAACGCUGGCGGCGUGCUUAACACAUGCAAGUCGAGCGGUAAGGCCCUUUCGGGGGUACACGAGCGGCGAACGGGUGAGUAACACGUGGGUGACCUGCCCUUAGCUCUGGGAUAAGCCUGGGAAACUGGGUCUAAUACCGGAUAUGACUCCAUGACGCAUGUUGUGGGGUGAAAGCCUUGUGCGGCUAGGGAUGGGCCCGCGGCCUAUCAGCUUGUUGGUGGGGUGAUGGCCACCAAGGCGACGACGGGUAGCCGGCCUGAGAGGGCGACCGGCCACACUGGGACUGAGACACGGCCCAGACUCCUACGGGAGGCAGCAGUGGGGAAUCUUGCGCAAUGGGCGAAAGCCUGACGCAGCGACGCCGCGUGAGGGAUGACGGCCUGUGU